GUGAGUAGUUCUAGAGUUUGAUCCUGGCUCAGGACGAACGCUGGCGGCGUGCUUAACACAUGCAAGUCGAACGGAGAUACAUUGGAGGAGAGCUUCGGCAGGAAUCCGGCGUAUCUUAGUGGCGGACGGGUGAGUAACGCGUGAGCAACCUGUCCCAGACAGGGGGAUAACACUUGGAAACAGGUGCUAAUACCGCAUAAGACCACGGAGUCACAUGGCUCAGGGGUAAAAGGAGGAAUCCGGUUUGGGGUGGGCUCGCGUCCGAUUAGAUAGUUGGUGAGGUAACGGCCCACCAAGUCGACGAUCGGUAGCCGACCUGAGAAGGUGAUCGGCCACAUUGGAACUGAGAGACGGUCCAA
rnacentral:rRNA from 1 species